rnacentral:tRNA from 1 species
CGGGGUGUCGUAUACCGGUAGUACGCAUGUUUUGGGAACAUGUAGACAGGGUUCAAUUCCCUGCACCCCGACGA